AAGACCUUGCGCUUUUGGAGCGGCCGAUGUCUGAUUAGCUAGUUGGUGGGGUAAUGGCCUACCAAAGCUUCGAUCAGUAGCUGGUCUGAGAGGACGGCCAGCCACACUGGGACUGAGACACGGCCCAGACUCCUACGGGAGGCAGCAGUGGGGAAUUUUGGACAAUGGGCGCAAGCCUGAUCCAGCCAUGCCGCGUGAGUGAAGAAGGCCUUCGGGUUGUAAAGCUUUUUCAGCCGGGAAGAAAAGGCCGCGACUAAUAAUCGCAGUUCAUGACGGUACCGGAAGAAGAAGCACCGGCUAACUACGUGCCAGCAGCCGCGGUAAUACGUAGGGUGCGAGCGUUAAUCGGAAUUACUGGGCGUAAAGGGUGCGCAGGCGGUUUUGUAAGUCAGAUGUGAAAUCCCCGGGCUUAACCUGGGAACU
rnacentral:rRNA from 1 species